rnacentral:misc_RNA from 1 species
GAUGAAGAACGCAGCGAAAUGCGAUAAGUAGUGUGAAUUGCAGAAUUCAGUGAAUCAUCGAAUCUUUGAACGCACACUGCGCCCCUCGGUAUUCCGUGGGGCAUGCCUGUUCGAGCGUCAUUUACCCCUCAAGCACUGCUUGGUGUUGGGCGUCUGUCCCGCUUCGCGCGCGGACUCGCCCCAAAGGUAUUGGCAGCGGUCGUGCCAGCUUCUCGCGCAGCACAUUGCGCUUCUCGAGGCGGUCGAUCGGCGUCCACGAAGCUCACCUCCACCGUUUGACCUCGGAUCAGGUAGGGAUACCCGCUGAACUUAAGCAUAUCAAUAAGCGGAGGA